rnacentral:misc_RNA from 1 species
UUAACUUAUUUGUAUAUUACUCGGACAACACAAAAAUCAAGAGUUUAGGGUUCUCUGGCAGGCACGGACCAGCCUACGCCAGUGGUCAUAAGACGGGCCUGCCAAAGCAACAAAGGUAAUAUAAACAAAGGGUGGGAGAUCUACCCCAAAGGGCAAUUUCUCUGUAAUGAUCCUUCCGCAGGUUCACCUACGGAAA